CCUACGGGAGGCAGCAGUGGGGAAUAUUGGACAAUGGGCGAAAGCCUGAUCCAGCCAUGCCGCGUGUGUGAAGAAGGCCUUCGGGUUGUAAAGCACUUUCAGUGGGGAAGAAAGCCUUGGGGCUAAUACCCUCGAGGAAGGACAUCACCCACAGAAGAAGCACCGGCUAACUCCGUGCCAGCAGCCGCGGUAAUACGGAGGGUGCGAGCGUUAAUCGGAAUUACUGGGCGGAAAGCGCGCGUAGGCGGUCUGAUAAGCCGGUUGUGAAAGCCCCGGGCUCAACCUGGGAACGGCAUCCGGAACUGUCAGGCUAGAGUGCAGGAGAGGAAGGUAGAAUUCCCGGUGUAGCGAUGAAAUGCGUAGAGAUCGGGAGGAAUACCAGUGGCGAAGGCGGCCUUCUGGACUGACACUGACGCUGAGGUGCGAAAGCGUGGGUAGCAAACAGGAUUAGAUACCCCAGUAGUC
rnacentral:rRNA from 1 species